rnacentral:misc_RNA from 1 species
GAUGAAGAACGUAGCGAAAUGCGAUACGUAAUGUGAAUUGCAAAUUCAGUGAAUCAUCGAGUCUUUGAACGCACAUUGCGCCCCCUGGUAUUCCGGGGGGCAUGCCUGUCCGAGCGUCAUUGCUGCCCUCAAGCACGGCUUGUGUGUUGGGCCCCGUCCUCCGAUUCCGGGGGACGGGCCCGAAAGGCAGCGGCGGCACCGCGUCCGGUCCUCGAGCGUAUGGGGCUUUGUCACCCGCUCUGUAGGCCCGGCCGGCGCUUGCCGAUCAACCCAAAUUUUUAUCCAGGUUGCACUCGGAUCAGGUAGGGAUACCCGCUGAACUUAAGCAUAUCAAUAAGCGGAGGA